rnacentral:rRNA from 1 species
CCUACGGGAGGCAGCAGUGGGGAAUAUUGCACAAUGGGGGAAACCCUGAUGCAGCAACGCCGCGUGAGUGAGGAAGUAUUUCGGUAUGUAAAGCUCUAUCAGCAGGGACUAGAAAAGAAGGUACCUGAAAAAGAAUCCCCGGCUAACUAGGUGCCAGCAGCCGCGGUAAUACGUAGGGGGCAAGCGUUAUCCGGAUUUCCUGUGUGUAAAGGGAGCGUAGACGGAAAGGCAAGUCAGAAGUGAAAGCCCAAGGCUAAACCAUGGGACUGAUGGUGACACUGUCAAACUAGAGUACGGGAGAGGUAAGAGGAAUGCCUAGUGUAGCGGUGAAAUGCGUAGAUAUUAGGAGGAACACCAGUGGCGAAGGCGUCUUACUGGACCGAAACUGACGUUGAGGCUCGAAAGCGUGGGGAGCAAACAGGAUUAGAUACCCUUGUAGUC